UCAGUUCCGGCUGGAAGAAUUUCCUGUAUAACAGAAUCCCUACUCUGCUCCUGCACUAUAACAAUUUCAAUCUUUAGGAAUAUUUCUGUGAAAGCCUCAGGUGUCCCAGAUUCGCUGGUUCGACGAUGGAAGAAAAGCUUCCAUUUAAGAAUCUCCAUAGCAGAGAGUACUCGGGCCACAAGAAGAAGGUGCACUCAGUGGCCUGGAAUUGCAUUGGCACAAAACUUGCUUCUGGUUCUGUGGACCAAACUGCUCGAAUAUGGUAUAUUGAGCCACACGGACAUGGUAAGGUCAAAGAUAUUGAAUUGAAGGGUCACACUGAUAGUGUGGAUCAGCUAUGUUGGGACCCCAAACAUGCUGAUCUGAUUGCAACUGCAUCAGGAGACAAGACUGUUCGUUUGUGGGAUGCUCGUAGUGGAAAGUGCUCACAACAGGCAGAACUUAGUGGGGAGAAUAUUAAUAUCACCUACAAACCUGAUGGGACUCAUGUAGCUGUAGGUAACAGGGAUGAUGAGUUGACAAUACUGGAUGUACGGAAGUUUAAACCAAUUCAUAGGCGCAAGUUCAAUUAUGAGGUAAAUGAGAUUGCUUGGAAUAUGACAGGAGAGAUGUUCUUUCUAACCACAGGAAAUGGGACUGUUGAAGUACUGGCUUACCCAUCUCUGCAGCCUAUGGAUACCCUCAUGGCCCAUACAGCUGGUUGUUAUUGCAUUGCUAUCGAUCCAGUAGGAAGAUAUUUUGCCGUUGGAAGUGCAGAUUCCCUAGUUAGCCUCUGGGAUAUCUCUGAGAUGCUCUGUGUGCGUACCUUCACCAAGCUCGAGUGGCCUGUGAGGACAAUUAGUUUCAAUCAUACUGGCUUGGAACAUGCACACCAGAAUUCCUACGACAUCCUUAGACAAACUGUUUCUCCUUUUGAAACAGUCGAACGUGCAUACGGGACGAACAGUGCAUCAGAUUCCAUGUAGGGCGGCUAUGAACAGCGUGGAAUGGAAUCCGAAGUACAAUUUGCUUGCAUAUGCUGGUGAUGACAAAAACAAGUAUCAAGCUGAUGAAGGUGUUUUCCGAAUUUUUGGCUUUGACAGUGCCUAGUACUUACCUGAGGCUUAUGUUUAGCUGUUUUCUUGUCUUACAGUUGCAGUGUUACUUAACAUUGGGUCAUUGUAAUUGUAAUUGUGGAAUCUGCUACUGUUUUUAUUUUAACUCAAGGCACCGCGAGCGACAAUAGUAAAUUAUUCAAGCCUUUGCUUUUGACC